rnacentral:rRNA from 1 species
UUUAAGUGAAGAGUUUGAUCCUGGCUCAGAGUGAACGCUGGCGGCAGGCCUAACACAUGCAAGUCGAACGGCAGCACAGUAAGAGCUUGCUCUUAUGGGUGGCGAGUGGCGGACGGGUGAGGAAUACAUCGGAAUCUACUCUUUCGUGGGGGAUAACGUAGGGAAACUUACGCUAAUACCGCAUACGACCUACGGGUGAAAGCGGAGGACCUUCGGGCUUCGCGCGAUUGAAUGAGCCGAUGUCGGAUUAGCUAGUUGGCGGGGUAAAGGCCCACCAAGGCGACGAUCCGUAGCUGGUCUGAGAGGAUGAUCAGCCACACUGGAACUGAGACACGGUCCAGACUCCUACGGGAGGCAGCAGUGGGGAAUAUUGGACAAUGGGCGCAAGCCUGAUCCAGCCAUGCCGCGUGGGUGAAGAAGGCCUUCGGGUUGUAAAGCCCUUUUGUUGGGAAAGAAAAGCAAUCGGUUAAUACCCGAUUGUUCUGACGGUACCCAAAGAAUAAGCACCGGCUAACUUCGUGCCAGCAGCCGCGGUAAUACGAAGGGUGCAAGCGUUACUCGGAAUUACUGGGCGUAAAGCGUGCGUAGGUGGUGGUU